rnacentral:snRNA from 1 species
GGAUGUGAGGAUGAUAUGGCUGCAGCAUCUGUCAUCCCAUUGAUUGCCAGGGUUGAUCCAGCUGAUCUGGCUGGCUAGGCGGGUGCCCCUUUCCUCUCUCACCACUCCAUAUGCUUCCUUUCCAAAGCUGCAAGCUCGAGCUCAAUGGAAGAGGGCGACCUUCCCCUAUAGGUUGGUGCAAAAGUAAUUGCGGUUUCAGACUGUGAAUUUUAAAUCAUCAUAACUAGGCUCAGACACAUCUUUAUUAAUCAAACUAGGAAUCAUUACAAUCAAUGCAUUUUUGCCAAUGAGAAAUAAGUUUGUUUACUCCUGUGGC